UGCAGAAGUUACCACCUACAUUGAACACAGAGAAGUCAAGUGGUUCCCACUUAGAGCCUCUACCCCUGUGGACUAGUGCUCAUGGUCCUGGAACAUACUCUGCAUGUUACCCAGCUCCAAACUCUUCAGUGUACAAGAGUGACUUGGACACCGGUGUGAUAGUGACACAAAUCUUGUGGCAGUAAAUUAGAAUCUGAUUUAACUUAAGGCAUACUCCAUGAAAUGGAACCGAUGCUCAAGGCUGUUUAGGUGACCAAGAACUAGAUAACCUAGUUAGACUAGAUAGCCCAUGGGCACAGAGGAAAACCAAAUUCUACUGCGCUGCUGACGGAGUGUAGCUAAAAUGACUUCUGCUGUACUCAUAGAUCUGUGCCUUGCUCAACCAUUGUUAGAGAAGCUGCCUCCUGCAGCAGAUGGCAACACAUAGAGACCUAUUGCCAAACAAUUUGCAGAGAGUGAAAAACCUUGGAACACUUAGCCCUCAAAGUGAUGCCUCUAUCAAAUCUCUCUCCUCGUGGCUCAAGGAACUCUGUGGAAGAGGAGGCAGAAAGAGUGUGAGAGCUGAGGAAAUGGAGGACACCAAGCAAUCAAGGCCUUCUGGACACAACAGGGCUGAGGCCCACAGGAUCUCACAGUACCAGAGUAGCAUGAACAGGACCUGCUUGAGUCUGCAACCAGAUGGGGUCUACAGCUGAAAGAGAAAGUUUACAAAUGUCCCCAUCCCUAACCUAGAAGCUAUCUGCAAGCAAUAACCACUUAUGAAUGAAAAGAUGGUUUUUUUGGAAGGGAGUCUCACUGGAAACAAACCACUCGGCAGGGCACAGAUCUACUGAUGCCAUGUGUCCAUUUGAAGCUGUCAGAAGAUGAUGCCACAAUCUUAAGAGCCUCUGGAUGGGAUGUGCCACUGGGGCUUAGAGGGUUUCAGAAGAGAGAUUUGAUCUGUCCAUAAGGGGCAAGGUUCACACUCCACCAGGCAAAUGGACCAUUGAUCAAACAUUGGUUUGUUCAGGUGACAACUAUAUUAUUGGCUCUGUUUAUCUCACUGGCACUUAGGAAAUCCAGACCUAAAUGGAUCCAGACGCACCCCUCCCCCCAUCGCCAAGCACACACAUACAGAAGCCAAGAAGCAAAGUAAAGCAACAAUGAACAGUGUGGAGAUGCGAUGCCAGCUGAUGAACAGAAGCAAAGUUCCUCCAAGCCAGGCUUGUGAGGGAUGCUCAGCACGCAGAACUCUCAGCACGCAGAACUCAGGCCUCUGGCUCCAGGGUCGCUCUCACUGACCAGUGGACCAGCUCCCAAGGAAUAAACAUCGAUGUGGUCUCAUUUCCUGAGAGCCUGAAAAACAGUCUCAUUCAGCGAUGGAAGAAAGAGCCAGCAGAGAGGACGCUUCACACCGAUGCUGCUUAGGGCUCUCUGUCCCAACACUUCUGUACAAACAACACUUCAUGUCUCACUAAUGCUUAGAACUUUGUUUCCUUUUCCUUCUCCCCUUUAUGGGUACUUUCGUGCAUAUACAUAUGAAUGGAUGGAUGAAUGAAUGAAUGUGCAUGAGAUUAAAAUUAUUGUUAGAAGUACCUGCUGCUUAUGGAAACAUAUUAACCAGCUGGAUUAACUCUUAAGGGGAAAGACAAGGCUCUACAGUGUUCUUUGUGACAGAUCGGAUUGGCAUGUCUCCACGCAGGGACAGAGGUAGACUCCAUCCUUUACAGAGCCCAUCAGGAAAGAAGUAUAGCAAUGUGGCGGCAUAUUCUGAAAUUUGAAGAUCACCUUCUAAGAUUCAUCGAUGAAAACCUUCAAAGCUCUGGCCUGUUAAAGAAAGCACGUAGUCUGUCCACCUCCCUCCUGUCAAGACAAAAAAUCUGGUCUUUUCAUCGGCGUUCUCUGUAUAAAUCUGCGGAUUUAGUUGUAAAUGA
rnacentral:lncRNA from 1 species